rnacentral:rRNA from 1 species
GGGUGAGUAACGCGUAGGCAACCUGCCCUUAGCAGAGGGAUAGCCAUUGGAAACGAUGAUUAAAACCUCAUAAUGCUGUUUUAACACGAUGUUUGGGACGAGCCAAAGAUUUAUCGGCUAAGGAUGGGCCUGCGUCUGAUUAACUAGUUGGUGAGGUAACGGCCCACCAAGGUGACGAUCAGUAGCCGACCUGAGAGGGUGAUCGGCCACAUUGGAACUGAGACACGGUCCAAACUUCUACGGAAGGCAGCAGUAAGGAAUCUUGCACAAUGGGGGGAAAAACCCCCUGAUGCAGCAACGCCGCGUGAACGAUGAAGGCCUUAGGGUUGUAAAGUUCUGAUCUGGGGGAAGAAGAAGUGACGGUACCCCAAGGAGAAAGCCCCGGCUAAAUACGUGCCAGCCGCCGC